rnacentral:tRNA from 1 species
GCGAGUGUGGUAUAGUGGCAUUACGUAACCUUCCCAAGGUUAAGACGGGGGUUCGAUUCCCCUCACUCGCUCAA